GACGAACCGUGCGAACGUUAUUCGGGAUCAUUGGGCUUAAAGGGCGCGUAGGCGGGUCGGUACGUCGGUCGCUGAAAUCCCCCGGCUUAACCGGGGACGUGGCACCGAUACGGCCGACCUGGAGGCGAGGAGGGGGACCUGGAACGUCCGGUGGAGCGGUGAAAUGCGUAGAGAUCGGAAAGAACACCAACGGCGAAAGCACUCUGCUGGGCCGACACUGACACUGAGAGACGAAAGCUAGGGGAGCGAAUGGG
rnacentral:rRNA from 1 species